CCACAAAAUGAGGAACAGGCAUCUUAUCCAACACCACAAUGAACUAAAACCAUUUAAAGACAAUCAACAAACUUUAUUAUAAAAUGUUCCUCUAAAUCCUAUGACAUGACAACUUGGACUCAAAAUUGGCAAGAAAUAAACCCCAUAUAAAAACUAAAAUCUAAAGCAUAAAGGGCUCUUUUUUCGUUCUUUUCUGAGAAUUGAUGGGAUAGAUUUUUUAAAAUAUGAGUUGAUGGGGUUGAUUCUAAAAUACUGUACCUAAAAUUUCCUUAAAAUGCAAAAAAAAACUUUAUUUUGCAUGCCAUUCAUAAAUUUUAAAAUCAUGAACUUUUCUCUCAUCCUCCAUUAGAAUGAAGAAAAUUUCUUUUUCAUUUAAAUUUUGAUCUCAAAUGAGUUGGAUUUGAUUUCAAAUCUUAGUUUCAAUGCCAAAUCAACUUUACCAAUUAAAUUAGCAUUACCUACAAUAUACCAUUAGAUUUUUGCUAGGAUAUAACCAAUUAAUAUAAAUUAAUAUUUUUAUCAACACGGAGAGAUAGAGAGGAGAAUUGAGGGAAGAAAUGGGAAUAUUAUCAUGUUUAGAAGUGUACUUGCAAAAAAUAUUAAGACUAAAUCCAUACAGAUUUAUAACAACACACGAAAAUAUUUACAUAUGCAUGUAUUGUAAUUUACUUACAUAUGUAAAUAAUAUGAGUUUUUCAUAACUGCAUUAUUUCAAGGACAUUUGAUUUAUAUUAAACUAAAUAUUUUAUCUAAUAUAUAUUCUUAUAACCCACAUAUAUAAAAUAUAAACCUUUCAAUAUUGGCAAGGUUUACAUAAUGUCAGUUUUGUACAUAUCUUGAUGAGAGAAAGGAGUAUGUGAAUUGAAUUGUUUGCAGUAAAAGUUAAGUGAUUGGAUAGGUUACUAUUUAUAUAUUUAUUGCUUUACUCUCAUCAAGUUCCAUCCAUUGAUAAAGAUAGUCAAAAGCAAAAGGCACAAUGUCCCUUCUCUUAUCAAGUCCCAUCUAUUGACUCGAGAUAGUCCACAGCAAAAGGCAAAUUAAGAAGAUAUUGAUGUCAAGGGAUGUUAAACAAGCAAACUGGAAGCCUGAACCAAUUUUAUGCCAGCAUGCACAGUGCCAAACACUUGGCAACAAGUGCACAAUACAUGAUUAAAUCAAAGGCAUCUCGCCUGGAAGUUUGGGUAGCACCGGACUGACUAACAGCCAAAUUAAAAUAGACUAAUGAACAG
rnacentral:misc_RNA from 1 species